GACCAUCUCCUAAGGCUAAAUACUCUCUAGUGACCGAUAGUGAACCAGUACCGUGAGGGAAAGGUGAAAAGCACCCCGGAAGGGGAGUGAAAUAGAACCUGAAACCGUGUGCUUACAAGUAGUCAGAGCCCGUUAAUGGGUGAUGGCGUGCCUUUUGUAGAAUGAACCGGCGAGUUACGAUUUGAUGCAAGGUUAAGCAGUAAAUGUGGAGCCGUAGCGAAAGCGAGUCUGAAUAGGGCGUUUAGUAUUUGGUCGUAGACCCGAAACCAGGUGAUCUACCCUUGGUCAGGUUGAAGUUCAGGUAACACUGAAUGGAGGACCGAACCGACUUACGUUGAAAAGUGAGCGGAUGAACUGAGGGUAGCGGAGAAAUUCCAAUCGAACCUGGAGAUAGCUGGUUCUCUCCGAAAUAGCUUUAGGGCUAGCCUCAAGUGAUGAUUAUUGGAGGUAGAGCACUGUUUGGACGAGGGGCCCCUCUCGGGUUACCGAAUUCAGACAAACUCCGAAUGCCAAUUAAUUUAACUUGGGAGUC
rnacentral:rRNA from 1 species